AUAUUUUCCUGAUAGGGCAGAGACAAUGUUGUUGGAGGCUGUUUUCUCAAGAAUGAGGUUAUCACAUUGCUCUUUACGUCCGCUGAUGCUUGCGAUGUUUUCAUAUGUGGGUUACUCGCCUGCAAAAGUUAUAGUAGUGGAGGACUGUGUUCGCGCUUUCCCUUA